rnacentral:rRNA from 1 species
AAUCAACGCUGGCGGCGUGCCUCAGACAUGCAAGUCGAACGCGAAAGUCCCCUUCGGGGGACAAGUAGAGUGGCGCACGGGUGAGUAACACGUAGGUAAUCUACCUUUGGAUGGGGAAUAACAACCGGAAACGGUUGCUAAUACCGCAUAAUGCAGCGGCACCUAAUGGUGACAGUUGUUAAAGCGGGGGAUCGAAAGACCUCGCGUCUAAAGAGGAGCCUGCGGCGGAUUAGCUAGUUGGUAAGGAAUGGCUUACCAAGGCUACGAUCCGUAACCGGCCUGAGAGGGCGGUCGGUCACACUGACACUGACAUACGGGUCAGACUCCUACGGGAGGCAGCAGUCGGGAAUUUUGGGCAAUGGGCGAAAGCCUGACCCAGCAACGCCGCGUGAAGGGAUGAAAUCCCUCGGGAUGUAAACUUCGCAAGAACGGGAAGAAUAAGUAGGGGACAAUACCCCCUAUGAUGACGGUACCGUUUGUAAGCUCCGGCUAACUCCGUGCCAGCAGCCGCCGCGGUAAU